UGCGUAGGCGGAAAAUUAAGUCAGUGGUGAAAUCCUGCAGCUUAACUGUAGAACUGUCAUUGAUACUGAUUUUCUUGAAUAUAGUUGAGGUAGGCGGAAUGUGUAAUGUAGCGGUGAAAUGCUUAGAUAUUACACAGAACACCGAUUGCGAAGGCAGCUUACUAAGCUAUUAUUGACGCUGAGGCACGAAAGCGUGGGGAGCAAACAGGAUUAGAUACCCUGGUAGUCC
rnacentral:rRNA from 1 species